CGAGAGUGUAACAACUCCCAACCCACUGUUUACCUACCCGUCCAACGUGCUUCGGCAGGCAGCCCUGUGGGACAGAGCCCCGCCCCCCUCGCGGGGGGUGCCUGCCGCCGGCCAACCAAAACUCAAGCUGUUUUAGUACCAUCUGAGUCUUAUACAAAAUAAACA
rnacentral:misc_RNA from 1 species